UUCUCAAAUAUAACCUUUCGUUUCGCUUCGUUGUUUACCUAUCUACGACACUUUUCUUCCCUCUCUUCUUUCGCAAACCCUAGAGCAGUCGGUGACAGAUUUCCUUGAACCUGCGGCGGCGGCGACAUAGAGGCUUCUCCCUCUUCGUCUUCUUCGAACCAACGGUGAUAGACUUCUCCCUCUUCGUCUCCUUCGAACCGGCAGCAACCACAGAUUUCUCCCGCUUCGCCUUCUUCAUCGACGACGACAAACUUCUCCUGCAAGUCUUCUUCAAAUCGGCGGUGACAGCAAGUUUCUUCACCUCGGUUGGAGUCCAACUUCAAGAGGAUCUUGUUUUCGGGUAAAAAAAGUUGACCAGGCUGUGGAAACAUUUGCUGAACAACUUGAUGCUGGCCACAAAGAUUCUUGUUCUUGGAGAGGAAAUUGCUGCGCUGACAGUUUGGUGCAAUUUCCUCCCAUGCUUCCAUCAGCAAUAAUUGGUGGUUAUAAAGACCGUUGUGAUGGCCUUUUGUAGUUUCCCUUCCUUCCAGUGGUAGCUUCAUCUGCUAUUGAGACUAUGAGGCUCACCAGGAGCUCAAAGAUUGAUCACAUGUUAGCUCAACCUAGUGGUUUUUUUUCUGGGGAGUUAGGUUGUAAAGAUGAUAACAAUACAAGCAGAAAGUAUUUUGUAUUUAAAAUUAAUUCUUCCAUUUGUUCCCCUUACGUUCACGUACAUAAUAAUCUCUGUUGUUGUAAUUUAUAUCCAUACAUAGGUUUCGUUAUGUUUGUGCUUUUCUUA